rnacentral:lncRNA from 1 species
AGUGGCAGCUCGCUGGGGGACCCAAACGCUGUGCUCGCCGGGCACAUGGAGCGACAGCCUAGACCGAGCUGCCGCUUCGAUCACUGCCCCCUGCACCCGCCGUGGCCAUCCCGGAGCCCCGGUGGAAGCAACGCCGCGGGCAAGUACCGAGCCUCUCGGGGUCUCCCUUCCCUGGGGAACGAGGCGUGUGGGGGGAGGGACAGAACCAAGAAAGAAUUUUUCCCCCUACGGUGAAUUUGGGGGAGGUAAAAUAAAAAUAAAAUAAAAUAAAAAUAAACCAUAAAAAUAAAAGGAAGCCAGGCACUUAGAGGAGGGUUCAAAGGAGGUGGGGCAGUAUUAGCAUGUAAAAGGAUGUGCCCGCCUACUCUCCCCAGUCACACAAGAUUGUCAUGCGAGCUGAAGGGGGCUGAAAUUAUUCCCUCUGAAGAAGAAGAAGAAGAAGAAAACAUACUGCAGCUCCCGAUUUGAAACAUCAUAUUUGAAAACAAGGUGGGGCCUUCAUCAUAUGCAACCUUCAUAUUUUAGGGCCUGCCUCUUUCUAUUCCUUGACAUAAACCGGACUCUUCAUGCUAAUCAGGCUGGAAGUGUAUCAUAAGGAUGCUGAAGCUAAAAACAAUGUCCAAGGCCAAAUAACUGACAAGAAGAAGGCCAAGGCAUCUAGAAACCAUGUCUUCUGAUUCACAGUUGAUCAUAUUUUUCUAUCACCUUUGAUAAGGCAUAAAAUAUUAUUUUGAUGAGUAAAUAAAAAGACUUUGGACACCUGCUGUUUGUCUAAUUUAUGGUUUCCUUCUCUUUUCUCUAGUUGAUAUGACUAUAUUAAGCCAAGAAAAAAGUUAGAUUUGACAAACGGAUUUUAACAAUUUUAUGCACAGAAUAUUUUUUAAAGUUAUUUUUACGAGUCUACAGUUUUACAAGUUUAAUGACAUGUUCAGAGGGACUAGAAAAUUUACAAAUAACAUGAUUUAUAAAAUCCAUGAUUUCCCAGGAAUAUUUUUGCCACCACAUGGGGGUGUAGUGUUCUUAAUAUGUACUUUGCAGGAAUUCUGAGCAUCUCAGCUGAGCAAGCCUGGGGAGCAGCAGGGAGAACUGGAUUUUAUGUGCAAGUUUGUCUUAUCUGCACCAAGCAUGAGGCCAGGAAUAGGAGUCGAUCUUAAUUCAUCCUCCAAGUGUCUCAAAUAUAAAAUUGGCUUUGUGAUAUUAAUUUGUUUAAAUUGUUCAAUCUCAGGAAAAACUUCACAGUAUGUAUGAGUUACCCACAUACAGCAGCAAUUUCAACAAAAGCAGCCAUAUUAGUAUGUGCCAUGCUAUAUUCUCCAGUCCAAGAAGGUUAUUAGAAAAUUGUUUAAUUGAGGCCAGGCGCCAUGACUCACGCCUGUAUUCCUAGCACUUUGAGGCCGAGGCGGGCGGAUCACGAGGUCAGGAGAUCAAGACCAUCCUGGCUAACACUGUGAAACCCCGUCUCUACUAAAAAAAUACGAAAAACUAGCCGGGUGUGGUGGCGGGCGCCUGUAGUCCCAGCUACGCAGGAGGCUGAGGCAGGAGAAUGGCGUGAAGGGCGCUUGCAGUGAGCGGAGAUGCACCACUGCACUCCACCCUGGGAGACAGAGUGAGACUCCGUCUAAAAAAUAAUUGCUUAAUUGAGAAAAAGUUGCUUUUGUCGCUGGAAUUACUGUGAGAUAAUUGACCGUGAUGGGAGCUGUGUCCCCCAGAUGAAAGCAAAUCAUGGGAGCCAGGGUCAAUCAUAUUAAUGUCUGCAGUGAAAAGAGGUGUUGUGAUCAUCAUAAGACAUAACCAUAAAAUACUUAAAGUCUUAAAUGGCCAAAGCCUUUAAACUACAUUAUAAUGAUUACAGAUCCAAUAAAGUUUAAUUAAAACAAAACUACUACAUUGAACAUCCAUAAUGAUUAGAAAGGUUUCUAAUUGGGGACAAAUUUGGUAUUGAGAACACAUCAAAAGAAUUUCCCACGUUCUUUGUUACAUCUGUUUGUGCUGGUUUUCUGCUUCUGCAUCUGUACAGGGCACAUUUCUAAAAAACUGACCAGUUUAAAAAUUACUUUUUAAGUUUAUAAUGCUCAUUUUAGGUAAGUCAUUAACUCUUUCCAUAAUUUAGGUGAUCAUUUAAUGUUUUAGGGAUUGGGAAGCACAGCUUACUUUUAGUUAAAAAAAAAAAGCAAAAAAAAAAAAGCAUGAGCUUUGGAAUCAGGCAGCCUGGGGAUUCUAGGCUAGAAUUCUAGGUUUCUCAUGUACUAAUUGUGCAAUUUAACUGCAUAAUCUCUCUGUGUCCAUAGGGUCCUCAAAGAAAAUAAUAGGAAAUUAUGGAUAGGAAAUAGGAAUAAUAGGAAAGAUGGAAUUCCAAAGAUAAUGUAAUAAAGGGAGGUAUGAUAGGUUAGGGGAAUUAACAAGGAAUAAUGAAGCACUCCGGAACCCAGCAGCAGCAGCAGCAGCAGCAGCAGCAGCAAGAAACCUUUACUAUCCCUAAGGAUUAGGGCAAGAGAGAAGAAAUAGGGAGUUACAGUCUGAUGAGAAGAGGAGCCUUGGAAGAAGUGUUGACUGACAGGAGCUACGGUUAUGGAGUGACCAACCCCAGUCACUACUAUGGCAGAAAAUAAAUACCCUGGUAUUUUUCUUCUCUUCUCUUCUGAUCUCUUGCAGGAAUCACCCUUUGGCCAAACCCAAUUAGACAACCAGAAACAAGUCAGCAAAAAAAAAAAAAAAAACUCUGGGUGGUGCAGUCAAUAGUGGUAAGCCCUCUAGGCACUGAAAAAAGGCCAGAGAUGAGCAGAGGAAUUGUUCUGUGUUAGGGGGGAUGAAAGUAGAAAAAAGCAAUUUACGCUCUUUGUUUCUUUUUCCUCAUCUUUUCUUUUCUUUCUUUCUUUUAUGAGGCAGAGCCUAGCUGUGUCACCAGGCUGGAGUACAGAGGCGCGAUCUCGGCUCACUGCAACCUCCACCUCCCGGGUUCAAGCGAUUCUCCUCCCUCAGCCACCUAAGUAGCUGGGACAACAGGCACGUACCACCACACCUGGCUAAUUUUUUGUAUUUUUGGUAGAGACGGGUUUCACAGUGUUAGCCAGGAUUGCCUCAAUCUCCUGACCCUCGUGAUCUGCCCGCCUCGGCCUCCCAAAGUUCUGUGUUUACUGGCAUAAGCCACAGCGCCCGGCCCUUUUUCCUUGUUUCUAAGUGGAGAUAUGAAUCAACUCUUGUCCAACAAAA